CUGCACGUCGAGGACUUGAGGAAGUCAAUGUAGUUCAAAAGCUGGAGAGCAGGUCUGGAGAGCUGGUUUGAUGAAGAAAGAUACCAUGAACUUGUGGAAUGACAAGGCAUAACUUUGAACUCUGAAGACAGGAUUGAAUUCUAAUUCUGCCACUUCUAAAUGCAUGCCAGCACAGACUUCUCAGCCUCUACGUAUAGACUUUUCACCCUCUGACACAGCAUUUCACUAGUGCCUGUACAUUGAACUUCCGGAUCUUCAAUCCAAUGCUACUGGAUCCCCCGCUUUGCAAGUUCGCAGUUUAUUCUGCAUUCUUCUCUCUGUGAUUCUGUGGAUAACUACAUGACUCUUUGCUUCU